UACGUAGGUGGCAAGCGUUGUCCGGAUUUAUUGGGUUUAAAGGGUGCGUAGGCGGUCUUAUAAGUCAGUGCUGAAAUAUCCCGGCUUAACCGGGAGGGUGGCAUUGAUACUGUAGGACUUGAGUAAAGUUGAGGUUGGCGGAAUUGACGGUGUAGCGGUGAAAUGCUUAGAUAUCGUCAAGAACACCGAUAGUGUAGACAGCUAACUAAGCUUUAACUGACGCUGAGGCACGAAAGUGUGGGGAGCAAACAGG
rnacentral:rRNA from 1 species